UACAGGGUGACACGUAUUUUGAUUUUUUUAACUCCUGGGCUGGGGAGCAGUUGAGUAAGACGGCACGUAGGCCUGGGACAUGCUGGCAGUCACCAUGGCUGGAAAACAGGAAGCCACAGAAGUGCUGGAGGUGUUUUUAUGUCCUCAGAGAGGUGAUGGUUAAAAGCCAAAAACAAGCAAAACCUGCAGCCAAAAAGAACAGUAGACAAAUUCCUGAAUCCAAUACGGUUUCAUCCUUCAGGGGUUCACUCAUCCUUUUGUCCUCCUACUCUGAACCUUUGGGGCUGAGCUGUUCCCGUUGGCUCCCUGGCCCUCUGGCCCCUAGUUGGGUUUGUCUAAGGAGAGAAGAGGCACUGGCAGGAGAUCGGAGGAAGGAAGACAAUGAGUUUGGGACACUUGUCCCCCACACUUCUCCUUUCUAUGUUGCCAUGGACUGGCUGUGCCUCUUCCAAAUGCCACAUUUCCUGUUGGGUGACCUUCUCCAUACAGCUCCGCCUUUUCAGGCUUUUAACCAAUGCAUGUGUAUCGUCUCCAGGUUAUAGAUGAGGAGAUGAAACUCAGAGAAUUUAAGUCACCUGCUCAAAGUCGAUUAUCUGGGAUUUGAAUUUGGGUUGGCCUGACUCCAGAGUCCCAGCUCUUAAUCUCUUAAAUACUGUAUAAAAAAAUAAAAUAAACUAUUAUUCAGUGCCCACUAUGUGUCACACAGUUUGCUAAGCACUCUGUGCCUUUAUUUCACAAUGUCUCGCAAACACUUUAUUGUAGGUACUACUUACUAUCCCC
rnacentral:lncRNA from 1 species